rnacentral:tRNA from 1 species
GCCGGGAUGGCGGAAUUGGCAGACGCAGGCGACUUAAAAUCGCUCGUGGUGAUCCCACAUGCGGGUUCGAGUCCCGCUCUCGGCA